GGUCUGUGAUGGCUGUUGGCAUGUAUUACCUGAGCAGACAGCUGAGGAUGAUCAGUUGGAUCUAGAAUGACUCUGAGACCUG